rnacentral:rRNA from 1 species
AUUGAACGCUGGCGGCAUGCCUAACACAGCAAGUCGAACGGUAACAGGCCUUCGGGCGCUGACGAGUGGCGGACGGGUGAGUAAUGCAUAGGAAUUUGCCUUGAAGUGGGGGAUAGCCCGGAGAAAUCCGGAUUAAUACCGCAUAUGCUCUACGGAGCAAAGUGGGCCUCUGAUUUAAACUCACGCUUUGAGAUAANCCUAUGUCGGAUUAGCUAGUUGGUAGGGUAAAGGCCUACCAAGGCGACGAUCCGUAGCUGGUUUGAGAGGAUGAUCAGCCACACUGGGACUGAGACACGGCCCAGACUCCUACGGGAGGCAGCAGUGGGGAAUAUUGGACAAUGGGCGCAAGCCUGAUCCAGCAAUGCCGCGUGUGUGAAGAAGGCCUG